rnacentral:piRNA from 1 species
CAGGAAAUCACUGAUAUCUUGCCCA